rnacentral:rRNA from 1 species
GACGAACCGUGCGAACGUUGUUCGGAUUCACUGGGCUUAAAGGGCGCGUAGGCGGCUUGUCAAGUCAGGGGUGAAAUCUUUCGGCUUAACCGGAAAACAGCCCCUGAUACUGAUAGGCUAGAGGGAGGUAGGGGCAUGUGGAACUCCAGGUGGAGCGGUGAAAUGCGCAGAUAUCAGGAGGAACACCGAUGGCGAAGGCAGGUCUCUGGGCAUUAACUGACGCUGAGGAGCGAAAGCAUGGGGAGCGAACAGG